UGAUCUGAAUGCUCUUAUUGGUUCAGAGAUGGACAUGUGACCCUCUCUUGGCCAAUCAGAGGCUUUCCUGCUGGAAGGGCUGCUGGAAGCCAUCUUCGCACGGUUCUUCCCUUGGCUUUAGAGCCCCGAAGCGCUCUUUGACUUGAGCUGCUUUGCAUUCUCUCUGUCCUGCCAUCGAGAAAGUUCUGAGCGGCUCAGAAGUAAUACUGACACUAUCAACGGAGGGGGACUGCAGUUUCGCUGGUGGCCCCACAGCCCCCUGCCUCCAGCCAGGGGACAAAGAACAGGAGGGAUCCAGAGGGCUGCCUGCACCUGCACCUCCCGCUCCUGCUGUGCCCUGAUCCCAUGUGCUGGGUGAACUGGGUUCUUCCGAGCCCUCCAGCCCUGGAUGCUAACCCCAGAGCUGCAAGCUAUCCCUCCGAGGAAUUCUGCCCCAGACAGCAGAGAGAUGGGGGGCAGGGGACACAUGGCCAUGAGGACAGAGAGCCCUGAGAGGGACUGGGGAAUCGAGACAUCGUUUUCAAAUAAUUGCAGCAAUCAAGAGAGACUGUACAUCCCAUCCCAGACAAAGGGAGACCUAAAAUGAGAGAAUGGAGCUGGGCGCAGUGGUUCACGCCUGUAAUCCCUGCACUUUGGGAGGCCGAGGCAGGCAAAUCACCUGAGGUCAGGAGUUCCAGACCGGCUGGGCAACAUGGUGAAACCCUGUCUCUACUAAAAAUAUGAAAAAAAGUUAGCCAGGCGUCCGCGUGCCUGUAAUUCCAGCUACUCAGGAGACUGAGGCAGGAGAAUCGCUUGAACCUGGGAGGCAGAGGUUGCAGUGAGCCGAGAUCACGCCACUGCACUCCAGCCUGGGCGAUAAGAGUGAAACUCUGUCUCAAAAUAAAUAAAUAAAUAAAUAAAUAAAUAAUCUUAAAAAAAAUAAAAAGAAAACUAGAGAAUGAUGACUUCUGUUUACCAUGUGCCUGGUUUCCUGUCCUGUCUGUGAUCCUGUUGCUGUUUGCUGUCAACUGUUCCUGCUUCAGUGAUAUUAGAAGGGUUCAAGGAGAAUGUGGGUCCCCUCCUUGCCUGCUCUGGGCCUUCCCCUGUUUCUGGCCUGUUUCAUCUCCACCCCCGUUGGAUCUGAGCUCCUUGAGGGUGGCCCCUACACCCUGCAGUGCUGAGCAUUGGGAGGUGUGAGGGUUGCUGAAGGCUGGGGGUUGGUGCUUUUCUUCAUUCAGCAGUCAUCAUUUAUUGAGCACCCACUGUUUGCCAGCUCCUUGGCUAAGCAUUUCAAGCCCUGUUCCAUGGGCUCAGUCUUCCAGGGGCUGGCCGCUAACUACGCAUCGAUUGAUUUCCAGAAGGACAGAAGCACAUAGCAGGGCCUGGUCUCCACUGGGGGUGCCAGGAGCUG
rnacentral:lncRNA from 10 species